CAAGGUCUUUCAAGGCUGCUUUCCUUCUGUGACAUCAUCACGCUGGGAGACAGACAAGGUCCCACCUCUGAGAGAACAGAUGCAAAGGCCAGCCUCCAGUCUGUGGGAGGGACUCCAGGAUGUGAAAGAGGCAAUUGGUUUAAAAUACAAGUGGGAGGGAUCUGGUGUCCAAAAACUCCUCCUACAUUCCCUUCACGUCGACCCGACCAGCGUGGAACCCUCUGGCGUGAAGUCGGCUCUCCACACAUCUCCGCCCUCGGUCAACAACUGCUGUGGCCAAAAGUUUAGCAUCACCUAGAAGAUUAGGUUUGAAACACACACACACAC